AUUGAACGCUGGCGGCAUGCUUUACACAUGCAAGUCGAACGGUAACAGGCCGCAAGGUGCUGACGAGUGGCGAACGGGUGAGUAAUGCAUCGGAACGUGCCCAGUCGUGGGGGAUAACUACUCGAAAGAGUAGCUAAUACCGCAUACGAUCUAUGGAUGAAAGCGGGGGACCGUAAGGCCUCGCGCGAUUGGAGCGGCCGAUGUCAGAUUAGGUAGUUGGUGGGGUAAAGGCUCACCAAGCCAACGAUCUGUAGCUGGUCUGAGAGGACGACCAGCCACACUGGGACUGAGACACGGCCCAGACUCCUACGGGAGGCAGCAGUGGGGAAUUUUGGACAAUGGGCGCAAGCCUGAUCCAGCAAUGCCGCGUGCAGGAAGAAGGCCUUCGUGUUGUAAACUGCUUUUGUACGGAACGAAACGGCUCUGGUUAAUACCCGGGGCUAAUGACGGUACCGUAAGAAUAAGCACCGGCUAACUACGUG
rnacentral:rRNA from 1 species